CCUUGUUAGUACCUUAGUCUCGAUGCAAUUAGAGUUGGGACAAAGGAAACUUGUUACCUAAUUCUUUCCUAACCUUUCAGAUCUAUUGAUGGUAAUAGAAAACAAAACUCGUCAGGUGCUGUGCAAUUCUUUGUUCCAACUGGUGAAGCAAAGUUGAUGCAGUGGUUAGACCAAACUCGUCUGGUCUGUAGUGAUUAAGGUAACUUCUUGAUACUUUUGGUCGGUUGGGGCAAAAAAGAAUCUAUGGUGGUUAAGAAACACCCACCCUUAUCAAACUCUUUAGCAUUUGUGCUAGCCAAAACAUGUUGAUCGAUGUGUUUGGUGUGCCACAAAUAUGUUGUUCAUGCAUUAAUUUAAUUUCUAGCUUGUGUGGGUUGGAAAGUCAUCUCGCCUAAGUAUAUUUACCUUAAAAUAACAAUAUGUGCUCUCUUGUAAGUUUGGUAUGAUUUCUGCUGCGUGUUAAAAAAAAAGUCGUAUUUUUGGAUAUUAAACACUGAUAAGAGAGAUGCAGGUAGAUGAAGGAAGAACUCCAGAUCAAAGCUUUCACAAAAUGGAAAGCCUAUUGAGGUAUGAAAUGAAAUUCAUUGAGACCCUUAAUGGAUUUCGUUCUUAUCAUUAGCCUCAUUUUGUAUCAAUCUCCUCCAUUUCCCGCUCUCCAACCCUAGAGAUUUGGUGAGCCCGGAAGAAGGGACAGUAGAAGCCUAGAAGGCUUGUAAUAAGGAGAACAAAUACGAGGAUUAGAAUUUGAAUCUAAUAGAGAUAAUAUUUUGGAGGUUGGCUUUUAAAUGUGCUCCAAUUUUAUCCGGUAGACAAAUCAGAUGGAGAAAUGAGAAUGAAUCGGGCAAAGGAUCUGGCAAAAUGUAACAAAUGUGCCGAGAAGUGACGUCUGAAUCACUUGCAUUAAGAUGUAGCUUGACAUUCCUUCUACAGCCAAAGCCAAACUUUGUCAACCUGAUUCGUUAUUCUUAUCAUAACUAAGUUAAACCUCUUAAACUUGAAA